UUUUUUUUUUGUUUUCUUAUAACUGAAUGACACUUAACAGUCAAACAAAUUGAAUUCCCCUUGUUUACACCCUCAAAAUAAAAAAAAUCAUUCACUCUCCGAAAGUGUACACUUUCGCCAUAAUAUUUCAAGUGGUCAAAUAAGCUGACAGUUGGAUGAAGACAAGAAGAAGGAGAAUGAUAUGAAAUGUGCAGAGAGUGGUCGCCCGCAUGGACAAAGUAUAAGGACAAGGGGUAGUAAGUGGGUUUUUGAAAACCUUGUUUUAAUUCUUUCAACAUCGAUUCGGAUUUUCGCCUGUGGAUGUGAAUCAGUGCCAGACCUUGAAAGCGGUUUUCAGCCAUUGUAAAUUUUAAAUAUAUGUUUAAAGGGCCUCAAUGAAGAAAAAAAAACGCUCUUCCGAAAAAUUUGCUACCAGAUGCAAGAUGCAAGAAUAAGGAGGAAACUAUUUAUCAUACUAAAUAUAUGUAUCUUUAUUGCAUUUAUUAAUUAAAUCUAU